rnacentral:rRNA from 1 species
AUGAGCAGUUUCAAACUUCACACAAGUAUCUUCCCUUGUACACAGAAGAAGUACAAUAUGGGCGACUGCAGGUACCUCCCCAGGGACACAGCUACUACCGUCACUGUUGAAAGAAUCACAGUUGUGCUGGAAGGUCCUUCCUGCUUGCUGUGUCUGCCUUCUCAUCUUAUUUAUGAUCGUUUAUGUGAAGAAGCAGCAGCAACUUGA